UACGUAGUGACCUGCGGAAGGUCAUUG
rnacentral:rRNA from 1 species